AACGAACGCUGGCGGCAUGCCUAACACAUGCAAGUCGAACGAUGGUCUUCGGAUCAUAGUGGCGCACGGGUGCGUAACGCGUGGGAAUCUGCCCUUGGGUUCGGAAUAACAGUUGGAAACGACUGCUAAUACCGGAUGAUGUCGAUAAGACCAAAGAUUUAUCGCCCGAGGAUGAGCCCGCGUCGGAUUAGCUAGUUGGUGGGGUAAAGGCCUACCAAGCCGACGAUCCGUAGCUGGUCUGAGAGGAUGAUCAGCCACACUGGGACUGAGACACGGCCCAGACUCCUACGGGAGGCAGCAGUGGGGAAUAUUGGACAAUGGGCGCAAGCCUGAUCCAGCAAUGCCGCGUGAGUGAUGAAGGCCUUAGGGUUGUAAAGCUCUUUUACCCGGGAAGAUAAUGACUGUACCGGGAGAAUAAGCCCCGGCUAACUCCGUG
rnacentral:rRNA from 1 species